AGUGAACGCUGGCGGUAGGCCUAACACAUGCAAGUCGAACGGCAGCACACUAAGAGCUUGCUCUUACGGGUGGCGAGUGGCGGACGGGUGAGGAAUACAUCGGAAUCUACUUUUUCGUGGGGGAUAACGUAGGGAAACUUACGCUAAUACCGCAUACGACCUACGGGUGAAAGCAGGGGAUCUUCGGACCUUGCGCGAUUGAAUGAGCCGAUGUCGGAUUAGCUAGUUGGCGGGGUAAAGGCCCACCAAGGCGACGAUCCGUAGCUGGUCUGAGAGGAUGAUCAGCCACACUGGAACUGAGACACGGUCCAGACUCCUACGGGAGGCAGCAGUGGGGAAUAUUGGACAAUGGGCGCAAGCCUGAUCCAGCCAUACCGCGUGGGUGAAGAGGGCCUUCGGGUUGUAAAGCCCUUUUGUUGGGAAAGAAAAGCAGCAGGUUAAUACCCCGCUGUUCUGACGGUACCCAAAGAAUAAGCACCGGCUAACUUCGUG
rnacentral:rRNA from 1 species